CUGCCGUGAUGACUUUUCUUAGGACACCUUUGGAUUUUAAGGAUGAAAAGAAACCGUAAUUUCUGAGCAGC
rfam:Caprimulgus carolinensis contig46957, whole genome shotgun sequence.